rnacentral:lncRNA from 1 species
UGGCUGUGGGGGCACAUUAGGGCGUUGUAAGGCCUCUCCCCCCAUCCGAUCUAAAAGAAUCGGGCCUUUGACUUUGCUCAUGUCAGGAUGAGGUUCUCCUCCUGUUCCUGACAUGGCUAUGUUUUAAGCAUUUGGUGGGGUCGUAUCCAGUCAUAAUAAAUCCACGCCAGGUGGGAAGAGCACGUUAAGUAGAAAGAAAAUUAGAUUCAAGG